rnacentral:rRNA from 1 species
GACGAACGCUGGCGGCGUGCUUAACACAUGCAAGUCGAGCGGUAAGGCCCUUUCGGGGGUACACGAGCGGCGAACGGGUGAGUAACACGUGGGUGACCUGCCCUCAGCUCUGGGAUAAGCCCUGGGAAACCGGGUCUAAUACCGGAUAUGACUCCAUGACGCAUGUUGUGGGGUGGAAAGCCUUGUGCGGCUGAGGAUGGGCCCGCGGCCUAUCAGCUUGUUGGUGGGGUGAUGGCCUACCAAGGCGACGACGGGUAGCCGGCCUGAGAGGGCGACCGGCCACACUGGGACUGAGACACGGCCCAGACUCCUACGGGAGGCAGCAGUGGGGAAUCUUGCGCAAUGGGCGAAAGCCUGACGCAGCGACGCCGCGUGAGGGAUGACGGCCU